rnacentral:rRNA from 1 species
GUGUCAGCCGCCGCGGUAAGACGAAGGGGGCUAGCGUUGUUCGGAAUUACUGGGCGUAAAGCGCGUGCAGGCGGUUAUCCAAGUUGGAUGUGAAAGCCUUGAGCUCAACUCAAGAAAUGCAUUCAGGACUGGGUGACUAGAGGACCGGAGAGGAUAGUGGAAUUCCCAGUGUAGUGGUGAAAUACGUAGAGAUUGGGAAGAACACCAGUGGCGAAGGCGGCUAUCUGGACGGUUUCUGACGCUGAGACGCGAAAGCGUGGGGAGCAAACAGGAUUAGAAACCCCGGUAGUCC